AGUGAUUUAUUAAAUAGCCGCAGUAUUUUGACUGUGCAAAGGUAGCAUAAUAAAUUGUCUUUUAAUUGGAGGCUGGAAUGAAUGAUAGGAUGUGAUGGGUGCUGUCUUUAUGGUAGUUGAUUGAAAUUUACCUUUUGAUGAGAAGGUUAAGAUUUGGUUGGUAGACGAGAAGACCCUAUCAAGCUUGAUUUUAAUUGUAGCUUAAUCUUGUUGAAUUUGUGGUUGAGUUGUGAUUUAAAUUUUGUUGGGGCAAUGUUUGAAUAUAUUGUAAUUUUUUAUUGUUUGAUUUAUUUUGAUCCGUUAUUAGCGAUUAAAGGAGUAAGUUACUGUAGGGAUAACAGCGUAAUUAAUUUGGAGAGUUCAUAUUGGUAAAUUAGAUUGCGACCUCGAUGUUGGUUUAAUGAUUCUUUAUGGUGCAGUAGCUUUAUGAGAG
rnacentral:rRNA from 1 species